rnacentral:rRNA from 1 species
GACGAACCACACGAACGUUAUUCGGAAUUACUGGGCUUAAAGGGCGCGUAGGCGGCGGGGUCAGUCGGGUGUGAAAUCUUGGGGCUUAACCCCGAAACGGCACUCGAAACUGCCCGGCUGGAGGGCCGGAGAGGAGAUCGGAAUUCACGGUGUAGCAGUGAAAUGCGUAGAGAUCGUGAGGAAGACCCGUGGCGAAGGCGGAUCUCUGGACGGCUAACUGACGCUGAGGCGCGAAGGCCAGGGGAGCAAACGGG